UGCCAGCCGCCGCGGUAAUACGGAGGGUGCAAGCGUUAUCCGGAAUCACUGGGUUUAAAGGGUGCGUAGGCGGCACGAUAAGUCAGAGGUGAAAGCCCACAGCUCAACUGUGGAAUUGCCUUUGAUACUGUUGUGCUUGAAUCAGGAUGAGGUUAGCGGAAUGUGACAUGUAGCGGUGAAAUGCAUAGAUAUGUCAUAGAACACCAAUUGCGAAGGCAGCUAACUAGACCUGCAUUGACGCUGAGGCACGAAAGCGUGGGGAGCGAACAGGAUUAGAUA
rnacentral:rRNA from 1 species